CCUACGGGCGGCAGCAGUGGGGAAUAUUGCACAAUGGGGGAAACCCUGAUGCAGCGACGCCGCGUGAGUGAAGAAGUAUUUCGGUAUGUAAAGCUCUAUCAGCAGGGAAGAAGCAAGACGGUACCUGACUAAGAAGCCCCGGCUAACUACGUGCCAGCAGGCGCGGUAAUACGUAGGGGGCAAGCGGGAUCCGGAUUUACUGGGGGUAAAGGGAGCGUAGACGGUAUGGCAAGUCUGAAGUGAAAGCCUAGGGCGUAACGCAGGAACUGCAUGGGAAACUGGUAGAAGAGAGUGCAGGAGAGGGAGGUGGAAGGUAGGGGGGAGUGGGGAAAGGAGGAGAGAUAAGAAAGAAAA
rnacentral:rRNA from 1 species